rnacentral:rRNA from 1 species
AGGGUUUGAUUAUGGCUCAGGAUGAACGCUGGCGGCGUGCUUAACACAUGCAAGUCGAACGGGAAAUACUUUAUUGAAACUUCGGUGGAUUUAAUUUAUUUCUAGUGGCGGACGGGUGAGUAACGCGUGGGUAACCUGCCUUAUACUGGGGGAUAACAGCCAGAAAUGACUGCUAAUACCGCAUAAGCGCACAGAACCGCAUGGUUCGGUGUGAAAAACUCCGGUGGUAUAAGAUGGACCCGCGUUGGAUUAGCUAGUUGGCAGGGCAGCGGCCUACCAAGGCGACGAUCCAUAGCCGGCCUGAGAGGGUGAACGGCCACAUUGGGACUGAGACACGGCCCAG